GGACUACCAGGGUUUCUAAUCCCGUUUGCUCCCCUGGCUUUCGCGCCUCAGCGUCAGAAAAGGUCCAGCACGUCGCUUUCGCCACCGGCGUUCCUUCCGAUAUCUACGCAUUUCACCGCUCCACCGGAAGUUCCACAUGCCCCUACCUCCCUCAAGACGGCCAGUAUCAGAAGCUGUUUUCCAGUUAAGCUGAAAGAUUUCACCCCUGACUUGACCACCCGCCUACGCGCCCUUUAAGCCCAGUGAUUCCGAACAACGUUUGCACGGUUCGUCUUACCGCGGCGGCUGGCAC
rnacentral:rRNA from 1 species